AUUGAACGCUGGCGGCAUGCUUUACACAUGCAAGUCGGACGGCAGCGGGGAAGUGCUUGCACUUCUGCCGGCGAGUGGCGAACGGGUGAGUAAUGCAUUGGAACGUACCGAGUAGUGGGGGAUAACUGUCCGAAAGGAUAGCUAAUACCGCAUACGACCUAUGGGUGAAAGCAGGGGACCUUUGGGCCUUGCGCUAUUUGAGCGGCCAAUGUCUGAUUAGCUAGUUGGUGGGGUAAAGGCCUACCAAGGCGACGAUCAGUAGCGGGUCUGAGAGGAUGAUCCGCCACACUGGGACUGAGACACGGCCCAGACUCCUACGGGAGGCAGCAGUGGGGAAUUUUGGACAAUGGGCGCAAGCCUGAUCCAGCCAUGCCGCGUGUCUGAAGAAGGCCUUCGGGUUGUAAAGGACUUUUGUACGGGAAGAAAAGGUUGUGGCUAAUACCCAUGACUGAUGACGGUACCGUAAGAAUAAGCACCGGCUAACUACGUGCCAGCCGCCGCGGUAACAC
rnacentral:rRNA from 1 species